AAUUGCAUUUACAGAUUUAAAAAUUCUUCUCUACAAUUAAAGUAUAAUAGACAGUAAUGUACAAAGUGAUUCUUAUAGCGAUUUCAGCUGGGGCGCACCGGUGUGCCACCUUACCGGUGGCAUACAAACUGGCUCCGACUAUUUUCUCGGGUCCACUUUGGCCGGUAUUCAUAGUCGAUUCUUAUAUUUAAGAUCAUCUUAAGUAUCACCUUAAGAUGCUAUCAACCAAUCAGAGAGCCGUAUUAGCAUCUUAAGACGUUACUUAAAACGAUCUUGAUAUAAGAAUCGACUAUGAAUACCGGCCUUUGUGUAUGUACACCCAAUAUGCACUUAUGAGGUGUAUUGAGCCCAGACGAACACGCGGCACCAUUGAGGGACUGCAUUAAGGGCCACUUGCACCAACGCCGAUUAACUUAAUCGCUGAUUAGUCUAUCGGAAUUGACCAAUCGUAUUUGUCGUUAAGUAAAAACGACAAAUGCGAUUGGUCAAUUCCGAUCAUAUAUGUAAUACUCCUAUAUUGCUAGAAGAGUGUUGACCGUCAGCCCAAACAUUACGGUGCAGACGUAUAAUAGCCUCUCUCUCGCGAACGGCCCAGCUGAUUUGUGCGCAUGCGGUUACAUUUUUUAAAACACCAUUAGGCGCGAUUUUCACAUAACCUGUUUUCGUGAUUUGUGCGUGUGUGCGACGGUAAACAACGCAUAUUAUAAGCGUCCCAAGUGAGACAAACCAAAGAAAAAAUUUACAAUGGUGCGAAUUUGUUUUUUGUGUCAGAAAAAGGCAGCAAAGGAUGGAAAUUUUGCAAUGCACAAGUAAAUAUCUUACAUGUAAAAUGUGUAUUUAUAAAACGUUAUACUUAUUUUCUCUAAUUCAACUUAUUUGCAUAGCAUUAUUACACUAGAUUUACUGUAACACAUGAUUGGAUUAUCAAGCAGUUAACAGCAUGAUGGAAUAAAUAAUAAUUAUUUGUAGAUUUCCAAAAGAGGUGAGCAUUCGGGCACAGUGGUUACAUGCCUGCAAAUUAUCUGACAAGGACAAUGUGAUACAUGUACACAUUUGCUCCGAUCACUUUGUACCAAGUGAUUAUAAAAAUAGCAUAGGACUGUGUAGCAGAAAGUGGUUAUUGAAACCAGGAGCAGUGCCUUCAGUUAAUGUGCCAAAUCCUCCAGCUGCCGAAUUGCAGUUCCAGUCAACAUCUGAGAUUAUAAUGGACGAGACACGAUUAGUGCCUUCUAUUGAUGUUCCAAAUCCUUCAGCUGCCGAACUGCAGUUCCAGUUAACAUCUGAUUAUACAAUGAGUAUUGUUACAGCUAUGGUUCAACAUUAUUUAUAUUGU